CACGUAGGCACCAAGCGUUGUCCGGAAUCAUUGGGCGUAAAGAGCGCGUAGGCGGCCCAGUAAGUCCGCUCUGAAAGUCAGAGGCUCAACCUCUGAAUGCGGGUGGAUACUGCUGGGCUAGAGUCCGGAAGAGGCGAGUGGAAUUCCUGGUGUAGCGGUGAAAUGCGCAGAUAUCGUAAGGAAGACCAGUGGCGAAGGCGGGUCUCUGGACAGUUCCUGACGCUGAGGCACGAAGGCCAGGGAGACAAACCGGGGAGUGAAAACCUG
rnacentral:rRNA from 1 species